rnacentral:rRNA from 1 species
GACGAACGCUGGCGGCGUGCCUAAUACAUGCAAGUCGAGCGAGCUUGCCUAGAUGAAUUUGGUGCUUGCACCAGAUGAAACUAGAUACAAGCGAGCGGCGGACGGGUGAGUAACACGUGGGUAACCUGCCCAAGAGACUGGGAUAACACCUGGAAACAGAUGCUAAUACCGGAUAACAACACUAGACGCAUGUCUAGAGUUUAAAAGAUGGUUCUGCUAUCACUCUUGGAUGGACCUGCGGUGCAUUAGCUAGUUGGUAAGGCAACGGCUUACCAAGGCAAUGAUGCAUAGCCGAGUUGAGAGACUGAUCGGCCACAUUGGGACUGAGACACGGCCCAAACUCCUACGGGAGGCAGCAGUAGGGAAUCUUCCACAAUGGACGCAAGUCUGAUGGAGCAAUGCCGCGUGGGUGAAGAAGGGUUUCGGCUCGUAAAGCUCUGUUGGUAGUGAAGAAAGAUAGAGGUAGUAACUGGCCUUUAUUUGACGGUAAUUACUUAGAAAGUCACGGCUAACUACGUG